AUUGAACGCUGGCGGCAGGCCUAACACAUGCAAGUCGAGCGGAGCGGCGGACGGGUGAGUAAUGCCUAGGCAUCUGCCUGGUAGUGGGGGAUAACGUCCGGCAACGGGCGCUAAUACCGCAUACUAUCAGAUGAGCCUCGGUCGGAUUAGCUAGUUGGUGGGGUAAAGGCUUACCAAGGCGACGAUCCGUAACUUGUCUGAGAGGAUUAUCAGUCACACUGGAACUGAGACACGGUCCAGACUCCUACGGGAGGCAGCAGGGGGGAAUAUUGGACAAUGGGCGAAAGCCUGAUCGAGCCAUGCCGCGUGUGGGAAGAAGGGCGUCGGAUUGUAAAACACUGUAAGUUGGGAGGCGUUACCAACAGAAUAAGCACCGGCUAACUUCGUGACAGCAGCCGCGGUAAUAC
rnacentral:rRNA from 1 species